ACGAACGCUGGCGGCAGGCCUAACACAUGCAAGUCGAGCGAGGACUUCGGUUCUAGCGGCGGACGGGUGAGUAACGCGUGGGAAUGUGCCCUUCUCUACGGAAUAGCCCUGGGAAACUGGGAGUAAUACCGUAUACGCCCUAUUGGGGAAAGAUUUAUCGGAGAAGGAUCAGCCCGCGUUGGAUUAGGUAGUUGGUGGGGUAAUGGCCUACCAAGCCGACGAUCCAUAGCUGGUUUGAGAGGAUGAUCAGCCACACUGGGACUGAGACACGGCCCAGACUCCUACGGGAGGCAGCAGUGGGGAAUCUUAGACAAUGGGGGCAACCCUGAUCUAGCCAUGCCGCGUGAGUGAUGAAGGCCUUAGGGUUGUAAAGCUCUUUCAGCCGGGAAGAUAAUGACGGUACCAGCAGAAGAAGCCCCGGCUAACUCCGUG
rnacentral:rRNA from 1 species